UUUCAUACGAUUAAAACAUUUAAUGAAAGUUAAUUGAUUUUAGGACAGAAACUUUUACGUGAUUUUGGUGGAAAAUCUGGUUAUAAGAAAAUUUUCUUAUAAAUAAAGGGGAUUAAUAUAGCCACACUCUAAGAUCUUAUUUUUACACCCUGCAUACGGGUCCUAUAACGUUAUAUGUUAUAUACAACCCCUGUAUUCAUGGGUGCUCGUAUGAUGUUAUACGGGUCGUAUACAUGGGCUGAUUUUUUUUUUAAUUUGACAUAAUAUUCCUUGAUUCGCUUGCGACCAACGUAAGUUAUUUGAUUGGACUUAAGUUUCUUCGAUUCACGUGCUAAUUAUUUGACUAGACGUAAUAUUCCUUGAUUCGUGCGUCAAUUAUUUGAUAAGAUGUAAUAUUCUGUUAAAACUUACUAUAUAAACGACUAUAAUCUUCUUCAUUUUUUAUUUAACUUCAAUUCGUUUCUUAUAUAUUCUCAUGUAUUUAAGUUAUAUUACGCUAUAACGUCGUUCUAGACAACAAUUAUUUGUUGGUGGUGACUCGACUAGCGAGUCGAAUCACAUGACGUAUAAUUUGAAUCAAGAUACCACUACGGGGUUAUUUGAUUAAAUCUUCCGUUCGAUUCAACUCUUGUGUCUGAUGCUAGUCAGGAUCUAUGGGCUUUUGAUAACUAUCAGGGUAAUCAUGUUGGUGUAAAUCCUAACAAUUUUGGGUUAGGUGAGUAUCACAGAAGUGACCCACGACCGUCCGGUAGUGAAAGACCGUUGUCCGGGGGUCAAGGUGACGACGAACCUAGUGAGUUUAAAACUGACCAGGUAUAACAAUAUAUCUUUAGAAAUUCCAUAGCAUGGAUGAUUUGAUGAACUGGUGUAGAAUCGUCGGACGCGACGAGUACGCCAUAGUUACCAUAUGAACGAAGUACGAGGAUCCCCCUAGCCACCGGCCGCUAAAAAUAUGGCUGAUAUACGAUUGUGGCGGCCACCACAAGCAAACAGACACGGUCAGACGUAGUGGAACCAGGAAAACCGGUUGUGAGUAUUGAGACAUUUAGAAAGAGAAUAGGAAUUUGGACUCUAAAGGUUGAUAAAGCUAAGCACAACCAUGAACCCUUUCUAUGUCUUGAGGGGCAUCCAUCCCUAAUGAAGCCGACUCCAGGUGAAGAGAGGACAGUGGAGCUGCUGACGCGUUAGAACAUGCGACCAUGAGACAUUCUAUAGACCAUUAAAAACAGAACCUCGUAAAUGUGUCAACAAGAAAUACAAUAUACAAUGCGCGAGUGAAAUUGGGUCGAAGGGAUCAAGUCGGCGAGACUCCAAUCCCGGUUCUUCAUAACCGAUUGAACUAAAUUGGGCUUGUUUUCUUCCACCGAACAGAUGAAAAGGAUGAAAGGUUACAAGAUGUUUUCUUUAUCCACCUGAAGUUUGAACAUUUUGUGGUGUGCCUUCCCGCAUGUGUUGCUUAUAGACGCCACCUACAAGUCGAACUUAUACAAAAUGCCGAUUGUCCAGAUUAUUAGUGUCCUACCUACUUACCUCUCGUAUUGCAUUGUCCAUGCGUUCAUAACCAACGAACGAGAGGAAAACUUAACGUCGGUGUUACAAAAGUUGAAAGGUUUACUGAACAGUGCUAUGGAGCCCCGUGUAAUAGUAACCAAUAAAGACCUCGCCCUCAUGAACGCAUGUGCACGCCUGUUUUCGAACGUCAGUCAUUCACUAUGUAGGUGGCACAUACAAGAGUAUCGUUAGACAUUGCAAGCCAAGCUUUAAAACAGAAAUAGAAUGUGAUAAGUUUCUAUACAAGUGGGGCAGGUUGAUUAACUCCACCACGGUUGAUGAUUAUAACUAUUGGUACGAUCGAAUACGAGAACGACUGCCAAGAAAAAAACGUGAUGACAUUAUGGAUUAUCUGUUCUCUAACUAGCUAAAACCACAUAGACAAAGGUUUGUGUCUCUUCGGACCGAUCAACAUCUUAACUUUAGUCAACGUACAACGAACAUGGUGGAGAGUCUGCAUGCGCUUUUGCAGAUGUACCUCAAUGAAUCAAAUAAGACGCUGAAAAAGUUGUACCUUUUAUCUAUCAGCUCCUGGAUAAUCAAGUAGCAGAGAUAGGACGCAACAUUAAGCAAAGCAGGAGUCGUACAAUGGAUCACCAUGACAAACCAAUCUUUGAUUUCCUUUGAAAGAACGUUUCACAUGCGUGUCUGAAUCUAUUAGUUAAUAAAAUCAAUGCCAUACAUAGGUUGCAAGAUGCUAAUGGUACAUGCGACUGUCGUUUGUUUACUAGCUGUGGGUUGCCAUGCACAUGUCGGUUGUUAUGGUAUCUACAGUCAGGUAAUGUAUCCUUUGACCCAUCGCGUCGUAUUUAGGUGAUAGGAUCCACUAGAUUCGAUAGUCCCCUUUUGGAGAAAGCUAGAUAUGAUAUCUUUAAACGAAAACGUCCAGGAAGAGGAUAUUAACGUCGACAACGAACUCGAGGAAGUUAAACAUCAUAUAAUGGGGAAGCGGGGAAGCCGAGAGCGGUGACGGAGAGCAUGAUUUCAAAGAUAAAAGAGGUGGUCAAUCCCCUCCCGACAAAUGUAAGACGACCACUCGUGUAGAAAAGCCCACGUGGACGUCCAACUUUAAAGGCUCAACCCGAAAAAAACAGUUUGUUUGUGGAACCUCCCAGACACGGUUCCAUUUUAACACAAGACGGUUAUGGUGAAUCAGGGCUCUUUACAAUAAGAGAGUCAUACCAUGCACAUGCAAGGCGUAGCUAGUUUAUCGAAACGGACAGUCUUUGUAUGCGGGCACCCACGUUUAUCGACGAGCUUGCGAAGGGCUCUAGAGAAAGGAAAGAAAAAGGCAAAGGCUCAAAAACCUUAUCAAUACAAGUCGCACGCACUGGCUCUACCUUUCUUGCCUCUAGCCCAGCAUAACCUCCUCAACCAUUACAAAAAGUUUAUUCCACCUUGCUUAUCUCUAUACUUUACGCAUAUACAGGACGUCUAGCCUGAUGGAAAUUGUGGUUUUCGAGCUAUAGUUGUAGGUUUGUCGCGUCAUGAAAUGGAGUGGCCAAUAAUUCGACGGAGCUUAUAGGAGAGUGCAACCGAUACUACGACUUAUGGAACACAAUAAAUGAUAUUGAGUUUCGAGACGCUCGACAUUCCUUAGAUUGGAAGGGCAUAAGUGACCGAUACUACGACUUAUGGAACACGAUAAAUGAUAUUGAGUUUCACAGGACUCUUGAUUGCUAACCGAUGGAAUAUCAUCUUUCACUUAAUAAGCGACAUUGGUUAUGCUACAUUUUUCCUCUUAUUUACAACAACCGAAGACAAUAUCCCUCAUCAAACCAUUACAAUCGUUCAUCUUAACAAAGAUCAUGUUAUCCACAUCAAGUUAGAGGGAGAUUAUCUAAUGUCUACCCCAUCAGGUUAUUAGUAACAACCAACAAGGAAUACAAUUGCUGAAACUUGAGAAAACAUGUAUAAGGAACGUAUAUUAUGUACGUCGAUAGUUAUAAGACUGUAGAGUGUGGAUUUAGGGGUUUUGUAAUUGUAAUAUUUAAUGAAAAUCGAUUACUUA